AUGUUAUAUAUAGGACAUUUCUAAAUUAACUUCUUAAAUCGUUCUCAAGCUUCAUAUAGCAUUUUAUCCUCUAAUUACCAAAAAGAUGUGAUGUCAUUUCUUAACUU
rfam:Gossypium raimondii chromosome 3, whole genome shotgun sequence.